GACGAGCGCUGGCGGCGUGCUUAACACAUGCAAGUCGAACGGAAAGGCCCUGCUUUUGUGGGGUGCUCGAGUGGCGAACGGGUGAGUAACACGUGAGUAACCUGCCCUUGACUUUGGGAUAACUUCAGGAAACUGGGGCUAAUACCGGAUAGGAGCUCCUGCUGCAUGGUGGGGGUUGGAAAGUUUCGGCGGUUGGGGAUGGACUCGCGGCUUAUCAGCUUGUUGGUGGGGUAGUGGCUUACCAAGGCUUUGACGGGUAGCCGGCCUGAGAGGGUGACCGGCCACAUUGGGACUGAGAUAAGGCCCAGACUCCUACGGGAGGCAGGAGUGGGGAAUAUUGUACAAUGGGCGGAAGCCUGAUGCAGCAACGCCGCGUGCGGGAUGACGGCCUUCGGGUUGUAAACCGCUUUCGCCUGUGACGAAGCGUGAGUGACGGUAAUGGGUAAAGAAGCACCGGCUAACUACGUG
rnacentral:rRNA from 1 species